CUUAGGGAUGUGUGGGUUGAUGAGCAAUUUCUCCUUUUAUCACAAUUAUUUCUACCCUACCUGAUCAUUUCCUUCAUAUUCCAUUUUAAUUUAAUUGACGUCUGCAACCUCUUUCAAAUUGGGAAAGUCCAAAAUGUGUCGUUUUGUAAAGGGUUAAGGCAUUUUGAUUCCUAUGGGUCUUGUGAAUCUGUUUCAAAUCAAAUGCGUAGAUUAGAUCUUCAGCAUCUAAAAAUAUGUGAAAUAGAAAGAACGACAAUAUCUUUUGGAGAGAUAAAUGUACCUACGUUAUAAGCAAAGAACCUGUGCAACAAUUCCUGGGCUUUUAAGUCUGUUUAGUUAACACGGUAGUAAUUUUUUCCAUAUAUAAACAUGCUCACCCUUCCAACUUUAAACCCACAGUGGGACGAGGGAUAGAAAGAGAAAGUCACAUGCUUGAGUACAUUUCAACCCAUGCGCAUUGCACGUUUUUUUUCGCAUAGAAAAAACAGUGGAGCGAUACAGGGCCAUCAUGGCCCUCUUGUUACAUUUUACAUGCAUUGAGUAUUCAAACAUUUACACAAUAUAGCACAUUACUAGAUAAGAUACCCGUUAAAAGACUACUAGCAUAUUUUGCAAAGUUUCAAUCGAUCCUGCAAAUAUCGACCACCUGUGAACAAAGACCACAACAACCACAUCCCUUGAGUGUUUUUUAUUGGCAGGUAAGACUUUAUAUUUAAAUUAUGUAUUAUAGAUUAAACUAUUAAAUUUUAAACUAUUUUCCAGGUUUAACUGGGUACAAAACAUUGUCAUAAUAGUGAGUGCAGAGUACAUUGACAGAGUUACAGCCAUGGUAUACUGUUGCAAAGACAAGGUGAAUGUUGUGCUCGGUAGCAACACCCGACAUAGAUCUAUCCGGGAGGGUGCCCAAGCAUUAUUGCAUGUCCGGCCAGAUGUCGUGGUCAUUCACGAUGUAGUGAGACCAUUUGUUGAUGAAGAAGUUGUCAAGACUAUUGUUAAAAAUGCAUUUGUUCAUGGGGCAGCAGGUGUGACACGCCCUCUGGUUUCCACAGUAAUCCAAGGUGACGAGAACGACAUGUUGACAGCGUCCCUCGACAGGAACCUGUAAUGUGCCAGUGAAAUGCACAGGCUUUCAAGUAUGGCUUUAUCAAGAAGGCCUAUGAAAAGGCUGAUGAGAAUGACCUCGACUUUGGCACAGAGUGUCUAUUCCUGGCCCUCAAACACUGCCAAACCCCGGCAAAAUUGAUUCCUGGACCGGACAGUCUAUGGAAGAUAACAUACAAUGUACAAAAAGAUCUCUACGCAGCUGAAGGCAUUAUGAAAGAGACGGGUAUUUGCGUGUGCGUUCAGUCAGUAACAAGCAAUGCCAGUUAUACUGUCCUGCAGUGUUUGGAAUAUCAUAUCUCAGAAAAAGGCCUCUCCUGCAAACGGGUCAGUGAGGUGUCAUCGCAUUUUAACACCUACGUGUUUGUGCACACAGAACACUCGGACAUUACGAAAAUGCUUGAAAUCAUGUCACAAGAGGUCUGCGACUGCCACAGAAGAAACAAAUAUGAAAUAGUCAAACCAUGUGUGAUACACGUGCAUGCUGGAAAUCUUUUGGAUUCUGAAACGGACAGAGAUUGUCGUGAAACCAUUGCAAAAUUGUCUAAAGACCAGUGUAGCGUGCUUUGGUAUGGAGUCGUUUGCCAGGUACACUAAAAUGUGUGUUGUUAGUUCUGUUUACUUGUAUACGUUUGUAUUUCCCCAUAAAGUUUAACCCUUUACAACUAAGAUACAUAUUUUCUUGCAUUUGAAGUCCAUUAGAACGUUACGUUUAAUUUAAGACCUAUUUUUACUAGAUUCAAGUUUUUAAGGCUUCAUCUCCAAACCUUAGAUACUGAUGAGCAGCAAACAGCUCAACAGACUUUGCUUCUAAAUGGGAAAGG